rnacentral:rRNA from 1 species
UACGAAGGGGGCUAGCGUUGUUCGGAAUCACUGGGCGUAAAGGGCGCGUAGGCGGCCCGAUCAGUCAGAUGUGAAAGCCCCGGGCUCAACCUGGGAACUGCAUUUGAUACUGUCGGGCUUGAGUUCCGGAGAGGAUGGUGGAAUUCCCAGUGUAGAGGUGAAAUUCGUAGAUAUUGGGAAGAACACCGGUGGCGAAGGCGGCCAUCUGGACGGACACUGACGCUGAGGCGCGAAAGCGUGGGGAGCAAACAGG